UGCCCUAGUAACGGCGAGUGAAGCGGCAACAGCUCAAAUUUGAAAUCUGGCCCUUUCAGGGUCCGAGUUGUAAUUUGUAGAGGGCGCUUUGGUGUUGGCUGCGGUCUAAGUUCCUUGGAACAGGACGUCACAGAGGGUGAGAAUCCCGUACGUGGUCGACAGUCUUCACCGUGUAAAGCCCCUUCGACGAGUCGAGUUGUUUGGGAAUGCAGCUCUAAAUGGGAGGUAAAUUUCUUCUAAAGCUAAAUAUUGGCCAGAGACCGAUAGCGCACAAGUAGAGUGAUCGAAAGAUGAAAAGCACUUUGGAAAGAGAGUCAAAAAGCACGUGAAAUUGUUGAAAGGGAAGCGCUUGCAAUCAGACUUGCCUGUAGUUGCUCAUCUGGACUCUUGUCCGGUGCACUCUUCUGCGGGCAGGCCAGCAUCAGUUCAGGCGGCUGGAUAAAGGCCUCUAUCACGUAUCUUCCUUCGGGAUGACCUUAUAGGGGAGGUGUAAUGCAGCCAGCCUGGAUUGAGGUCCGCGCAUCUGCUAGGAUGCUGGCGUAAUGAUUGUAAGCGGCCCGUCUUGAAACACGGACCAAGGAGUCUAACAUCUAUGCGAGUGUUUGGGUGUCAAGCCCGGACGCGCAAUGAAAGUGAACGGAGGUGGGAACCCUCACGGGUGCACCAUCGACCGAUCCUGAUGUCUUUCGGAUGGAUUUGAGUAAGAGCAUAGCUGUUGGGACCCGAAAGAUGGUGAACUAUGCCUGAAUAGGGUUGAAGCCAGAGGAAACUCUGGUGGAGGCUCGCAGCGGUUCUGACGUGCAAAUCGAUCGUCAAAUUUGGGCAUAGGGGCGAAAGACUAAUCG
rnacentral:rRNA from 1 species